rnacentral:rRNA from 1 species
GAGUUUGAUCCUGGCUCAGAAUGAACGCUGGCGGCGUGCUUAACACAUGCAAGUCGUACGAGAAAUCCUCUGCUUGCAGGGGAGAGUAAAGUGGCGCACGGGCGAGUAUCGCGUGGGUAAUCUACCCUUGAAUUCAGGAUAACAUUUCGAAAGGGGUGCUAAUACUGGAUAACAUCCUGAUGGUUUAGGCCAUAAGGAUCAAAGAUAGCCUCUACAUGUAAGCUAUAGUUCAGGGAUGAGCCCGCGUACCAUUAGCUAGUUGGUGGGGUAAGAGCCUACCAAGGCAACGAUGGUUAGCUGGUCUGAGAGGAUGAUCAGCCACACUGGAACUGAAACACGGUCCAGACUCCUACGGGAGGCAGCAGUGGGGAAUUUUGCGCAAUGGGCGAAAGCCUGACGCAGCAACGCCGCGUGAGUGAUGAAGGCUUUCGGGUCGUAAAGCUCUGUCGAGGGGAAAGAAAUGUAUUGCGGCUAAUAUCCGCGAUACUUGACGGUACCCCUAAAGGAAGCACCGGCUAACUCCGUGCCAGCAGCCGCGGUAAUAC